GGCUGGAGGAUCUGCAACCACCCACACCUGUGUCUCAUCUGUAAUCUGCACACCUGGGCCUGAUCAUCACCUCUCCACCAUUUAAGCCAUGAACUGACAUCCAUUCUCUGCUGGAUUGUUAGCCUCACCAGUACGUUUGCUUUGGCGACCUGGGAAAUCCUCUCCACCUCUGCUGGGCUGUCUACUUCACCAUCAUUAUUGGACCUGCGUGUACCUGUCAGCCGACCCACUUCCACCACUGCCUCACUUGCUGGACUCCUCUGCUUCCACGUACAAAGCCUAAUAAAGACUCCCCUUUUUGCUCAUUCU